AGCGAACGCUGGCGGCAGGCCUAAUACAUGCAAGUCGAACGGCUCUUCGGAGCAGUGGCGGACGGGUGAGUAACGCGUGGGAAUGUGCCCUUUGGUACGGAACAACACAGGGAAACUUGUGCUAAUACCGUAUGUGCCCUUCGGGGGAAAGAUUUAUCGCCAUUGGAGCAGCCCGCGUUGGAUUAGGUAGUUGGUGAGGUAAAGGCUCACCAAGCCUACGAUCCAUAGCUGGUCUGAGAGGAUGACCAGCCACACUGGGACUGAGACACGGCCCAGACUCCUACGGGAGGCAGCAGUAGGGAAUCUUGCGCAAUGGGCGAAAGCCUGACGCAGCCAUGCUGCGUGUAUGAUGAAGGUCUUAGGAUUGUAAAUACUUUCACCGGGGAAGAUAAUGACGGUACCCGGAGAAGAAGCCCCGGCUAACUUCGUGCCAGCAGCCGCGGUAAU
rnacentral:rRNA from 1 species